rnacentral:tRNA from 1 species
GGUGGCUCAGUGGUAGAGCACUUGUCUGACAUGCAUAAGGCCCUGGGUUUGAUUCCUCAGCACCA